rnacentral:rRNA from 1 species
CGGGGAAGCGAGUAAAGUGGCGAACGGGUGAGUAACACGUAAGCAACCUACCUCUAAAUUUGGGAUAACCUUGCCAACGCGGGGCUAAUACCGGAUGUGAUUUUGAUUCCUCAUGGUUUUAAAAUUAAAGGUGACCUCUUCUUGAAAGUUACUGUUUAGAGAUGGGCUUGCGGACCAUUAGCUUGUUGGUAGGGUAAAGGCCUACCAAGGCUGCGAUGGUUAGCCGACCUGAGAGGGUGAUCGGCCACAUUGGGACUGAGAUACGGCCCAGACUCCUACGGGAGGCAGCAGUAGGGAAUUUUGCGCAAUGGACGAAAGUCUGACGCAGCAACGCCGCGUGAGGGAUGACGGCCUUCGGGUUGUAAACCUCUGUUGAUUGGGAAGAAAAGUCUUAUGGUUAAUACCCAUAGGAUAUGACGGUACCAUUCGAGGAAGCUCCGGCUAACUACGUGCCAGCAGCCGCGGUAAUACGUAGGGGGCAAGCGUUGUUCGGAAUCACUGGGUGUAAAGGGAGAGUAGGCGGGAAAGUAAGUUAGGAGUGAAAUACUCAGGCUCAACCCGGGGUCCGCUCUUAAUACUGUUUUUCUUGAGUGUUGGAGAGGUAGAUGGAAUUCAAGGUGUAGCGGUGGGAUGCGUAGAUAUCUUGAAGAACACCAGUUGCGAAGGCGGUCUACUGGCCAAAUACUGACGCUGAGGCUCGAAAGCUAGGGGAGCGAACAGGAUUAGAUACCCUGGUAGUCCUAGCCGUAAACGAUGGAUACUAGUUGCUGGAGGAGUCAAUCCUUUCAGUGACGAAGCUAACGCAUUAAGUAUCCACCUGGGGAGUACGCUCGCAAGGGUGAAACUCAAAGGAAUUGACGGGGGCCCGCACAAGCGGUGGAGUAUGUGCUCUAAUUCGAUGCAACGCGAAGAACCUUACCUGGGUUUGACAUGGGGUUGAAAGUCGCCAGAGAUGGUGUCCUUUCCUUCGGGAACAACCUACACAGGUGCUGCAUGGUUGUCGUCAGCUCGUGUCGUGAGAUGUUGGGUUAAGUCCCGCAACGAGCGCAACCCCUAUCCUUAGUUGCCAUCAGGUAAAGCUGGGAACUCUAGGGAGACUGCCUGGUAUAACCAGGAGGAAGGUGGGGAUGACGUCAAAUCAUCAUGGCCCUUACGCCCAGGGCUAGACACGUACUACAAUGGUCGGUACAACGGGAUGCAAGCCUGCGAAGGUUAGCUAAUCCCUUAAAACCGGUCUCAGUUCGGAUUGGAGUCUGCAACUCGACUCCAUGAAGGUGGAAUCGCUAGUAAUCGCGGAUCAGCAUGCCGCGGUGAAUACGUUCCCGGGCCUUGUACACACCGCCCGUCAAGCCAUGAAAGAUGGGAGUGCCCGAAGUCGUUUCUCUAACCCUCGGGAAGAGAACGCCUAAGGUAAGACCAUUAAUUGGGGCUAAGUCGGAACAAGGUA